GCAAGUCGAGCGGUAAGGCCCCUUUCGGGGGUACACGAGCGGCGAACGGGUGAGUAACGCGUGGGUAACCUACCCAGAAGUGGGGGAUAGCCUCGGGAAACCGGGGGUAAUACCGCAUGAGUCCCAACCGGUGCGAACCGGAUGGGGGAAAGGCGGGGAUCUUCGGACCUGUCGCUUCUGGAUGGGCCCGCGUCCGAUUAGCUUGUUGGUGGGGUAAUGGCCCACCAAGGCUACGAUCGGUAGCCGGCCUGAGAGGGUGAACGGCCACAUUGGGACUGAGACACGGCCCAGACUCCUACGGGAGGCAGCAGUGGGGAAUUUUGGGCAAUGGGGGAAACCCUGACCCAGCGACGCCGCGUGGAGGAUGAAGGCCUUCGGGUUGUAAACUCCUGUCAGGUGGGAAGAAGAGCUCGGCGAAUAAUACUCGCCGAGAAUUGACGGUACCACCAAANGAAGCCCCGGCUAACUCCGUGCCAGCAGCCGCGGUAAUACGGAGGGGGCAAGCGUUAUUCGGAUUUACUGGGCGUAAAGCGCACGUAGGCGGCAGAAUAAGUCACAGGUGAAAGCCCUCGGCUCAACCGAGGAAUUGCCU
rnacentral:rRNA from 1 species